CGCUUCUGCGGGCAACUCCGGGCUGAGAAAUGAAUCACGCUCACAGAACCACUUGGCUUGGAAACUUCUGAGAUCAUUGAGUCCAACGUUCGACCUUACACCACCAUGUCAACCAGACCAUGACACUGAGUGCCAUGUCCAGUUUUUCCUUAAACACCUCCAGGAUGCUGACUCCACCCCUCUCUGGCAGUCCGUUCCAAUGUCUAAUCACCCUCUGUGUGAAGAAAUUCUUCCUAACGGCUAACCCAAACCUCCCCUAUCACAGCUCAAAACUGUGUCCUCUUCUGCCGCUGGUCGCCUGGGAGCAGAGUCUGAUCCCCACCUGGCACAACCUUCUGCCAGGGAACUAGAGAGAAUCAUAAGCUCCUCCAGGAACCUCCUUUUCUCCAGGCUAAGCAGCCCCCAUGCCCUCAGCCACUCCUCACAGGACACAUGCUCCAGACCCUUCCCCAGUUUCUUUGCCCUUCCCUGGACUAAUUCCAGCGCCUCAAUGUCCUUCCUGAAUUGAGGGACCCAGAACUGGACACAGCACUUGAGGUGUGGCCUCAGUACUACUCAGUGCAGAAGGACAUGAACUUCCGUGGUCCUGCUGGCCACACUAUUCCCGAGAUAGGCCAGGAUGCCAUUGGCCUUCUUGCCCACCUGGGCACACACUGUCUUGGGUGAGGGAAGGGGUGCCCACCUCCACAGUUCCUGUGCCCGAGGCUGCCAUCAGACUUCCACCAAGGUUUCCGGGGUCCCUCAAUGAGGGUGGGGAGCUGGGCUGCCUCCACCCUCCUCCUGCCAUGGCAUGGAUACGGAACAACCCUGGCAAGUAUGGCAAAAGGCCCAGCUUGCUGUCUGCUGAGACAUUUUGGGUCUGCCAUCAUCCACAGGGGCGAUGAGAUCCUCAAGGAAAUAACUGUUCACAAAGCAGUGUAAGGGUGAUGAGCUCAGAAAGUCAGUGACAGGUUGUGGAAUCACCAUCCCUGAAAGUGUGCACAAAAAUGAGUGGACGUGGCACUUAGCAAUAUGGUUCAGUGGGAAUGGUGCCAUUAGUUCAAAGCUUGGACUUGACAGUCUGGGAGGUCUUUUCUAAAAGUAAAUGAUCCUGUCUUGUUGCUGCUGGAUGAGAGGCUGAUGGUGUGGGUGGCAUGGUCCUUGCAGAGUACCACAGAUGAGAGGGCUUGUGGCAAUGUGCACAUUGCUCAUUUCACUGUUUGUUAGUUGGGUUUUUUCCUACACAGAGAAAAGGAGACAAAGAGAGCUUUAUUUCACAUCUGAAUCAAAUACUUCAGAGAAAAAGACCAUCCCUCCCAUUUUGCGGUGCCACAGGAAAAGCAGAGGCAUGGAGAGCUACAGCCAAAAUACUCUAUGGGAGUAAAUACUAGUUGUAUGUGGAUACCUUUGUGGCAGUUGUUAAAGAGCAGAGGUAUUUCCUUCUCAAAAUCCAGGAGUCCCAAUAUGUCAAUAUCAAUUUGAAAGGUAAUGAUGUUGGGUUUUUAAAAUCUGCUUUUUCUCUAUUUGUCAACUUAUAUUCUGUAGAUGUUCAUAGGAAAUGUAAAUUUUCUAUGUGGGUAGCCAUAUGAUGAAACAUCUCUGUGUUUAGGUGAUUAUUAACCGGACAGGUGCUGCAUUUGGAAGGUGCCUGCAUAUCUGUGUCUAAGAGGAUGUUGUCAUUUAAGAUGCUUUUGCAAUCUGUUUUUUCCUGCAAAAAUGUCUUAAAUGUGCUUGGGCUUUCCCAUCUCCAAGCAGCAGAAUGAAUAAAGAAACAGUAAGAUAUCAUAAAGAUAUAAAAGGAGACAGUUUUAUCACUGUGAGAGUAUUCCUAAUCGUACUUAACAAUUUAUGAAAUCAUAAAUCACAGAAUCACAGAUGGUGAGGUAAAACUUUGCAAUGCUUGAGGGCCUCUUAUUAUUCUAAGAGUGACUAAUGUGUAUAAACGCAUUAUUAUUUAAACAGAACAGUUCAUUGUGGUUGAAAUUAAGAUUUUAGUUGUAAAAGUGACUUCUUAUUAAGAUUUCUCAAUGUGAAAUGCCUUGCAGUAAAGGAAAAAAAAAAAAGAAAAUAUUACAUGUAAAUUAUUUUUCCUAAGCCUAUUAAACAAAUUGAAUCUCUGCAUAUAACCCUGCAUUUACCAACCAAUAGAUUGGGCUUGAAUUUGUAGCCAUAGUGCACAAUCCAGUUUUUGGUGCUUACAUGUCUCGCAAAUUGUAGAUUUUUUUUUUUAAUGAUCUUUUAAAGUAGUCUCUAAUUUCUCAACCAUAUUUCUCAAACGUAUUUCUCACUGCUGGGAAUAUUGGAUAAAUACUGGCAAACCAAUAAUAAUGAAAUCACUGGAAACUAAUGGAAAAGAAUGAUUUCACCAGUGUCAGUGCAGAAGAAUUCAGAAGAAGUUCCUGCAGUCUGGACUUUUGCUUCAGAGAGCCUGAAGAUUUGGUGAAUUUUUUUACCCUAGAUGAAAAUUUUCCUGUUAGUGCUAUGCCAAAUAUCUGCUGAUAUUCUGUGCAAGAUUUUAUUGUGUUUUUAAUAAUCAGAUUGAUAGCUAUGUUUUCAGUGACUACUUGGAUGAAAUAAAGAAUGAAGUUUUAGUGGUUCAGCAUGAUCUCUGCUUUUGAGUAAGGCUAAGGAGAUAUUUAACAUCAUUUUCUGACCUUUCUGAUGCUGGGCUUUACUACAGAACACAAGCAUGCUGCACAUCCACACUGAAGAGCAUGCAGUGGAAGUGAAGUCAUUUUCUGUCAUGAAUUUUCUGGUUCUGUGCUCUCAGCUGCAUACAUCACCUCCCUCCUUGCUGAUUCGCCUGCAGCUCCAUGUAAUCAGCUCAUGCAGUAUUUCAUAAAUCCCAUUUUCAGGCAUUUCCUGGCCUGUGCAUUCUGUUCCACAUCUGCACAUCUGCUCUUUCUCUGGAGACAUUGUCUUCUGCUGGGCUACAAACUUGCCAGUCGUUCAUCUAUUGUCUGAAUGCUUACCUGUCACAUCUGCAAGAGUCUUCUGACACCAGCACUCAUUGCUACCAUGCAGGACACAACACUGGGCAAAUAUUGCCUGCCCAGCAGCU